rnacentral:lncRNA from 1 species
CUCUUUCAAAGGAGCAAGUGGGCAGUGAGUGUGCCACGGACUGGCCUGGGCUGUGGCCUCCGGGUAACCCCCAUCCCGACUGUCCCCUCUACCUCUUUGUGGCUUCCUCUGGGGCCCUCUUUGAGGAUCUUUCUGUUUGUCUUUGUUGCUCUCCCCAUCUGUUUCCCUGUCUGUUUCUGGUCUCUUUCCUGCCUCUCCGCCACCCUUUCCUCUUCCACUGAUUUCUGCCAGUCUCAGCCCUGGUCGGCUCCUCUGAGGGGUGACCCACCUUCUGCCUCCCUCCUUCGGUCUCACCGGCUCACAGUGGCCCCUGCACCCCACUCUUGCAGAACGUCCCCCACAAGUCCUCACUGCCCGAGGGCAUCCGCCCUGGCACGGUGCUGAGAAUUCGCGGCUUGGUUCCUCCCAAUGCCAGCAGGUUCCAUGUAAACCUGCUGUGCGGGGAGGAGCAGGGCUCCGAUGCCGCGCUGCAUUUCAACCCCCGGCUGGACACGUCGGAGGUGGUCUUCAACAGCAAGGAGCAAGGCUCCUGGGGCCGCGAGGAGCGCGGGCCGGGCGUUCCUUU